rnacentral:rRNA from 1 species
AGUCAUCCCUGACCCCUUGAGGGUCCUAAAGGGCCGUUGGAGACCACAACGUUGAUAGGUGGGGUGUGUAAGCGUAGUGAUACGUUGAGCUAACCCAUACUAAUUACCCGUGAGGCUUAACCAUACAACACCCAAGAAGUGUU